rnacentral:snoRNA from 1 species
ACACUUUUUAUCUGCACCUGGUUGCAACCCCAGGCGAUGCUUUUUCUGUCUGUCAGAGAAACAUUCCAAUGUGCUGUGGCUGCCUUGACCUGUCAGGGGUGAUGCAGCUGCCUGGGAACACAGCG